rnacentral:rRNA from 1 species
AACGAACGCUGGCGGCAGGCCUAACACAUGCAAGUCUAACGGGCACCUUCGGGUGUCAGUGGCAGACGGGUGAGUAACGCGUGGGAAUUUGCCUAGUGGUACGGAAUAACCAAGGGAAACUUUGGCUAAUACCGCAUAAGCCCUUCGGGGAAGAUUAUCGCCAUUAGAGAAGCCCGCGUCGGAUUAGCUAGUUGGUGGGGUAACGGCCUACCAAGGCAACGAUCCGUAGCUGGUCUGAGAGGANGAUCAGCCACAUUGGGACUGAGACACGGCCCAAACUCCUACGGGAGGCAGCAGUGGGGAAUAUUGGGACAAUGGGCGAAAGCCUGAUCCAGCCAUGCCGCGU